AGUGAACGCUGGCGGUAGGCCUAAUACAUGCAAGUCGAACGGCAGCACAAUAAGCUUUUGCCUUUACGGGUGGCGACGGGCGGAUGGGUGACGCAUACAUCACAAUCUUCUUUUUCGGGGAGGAUAUCGUAGGGCCACUGCCGCUAACACCGCAUACGUCCUACCGCUGAGAGCAGUGGAGCUUCCCACCUUUCCCGACUGUAUUAGCCGGUGCCGCAUUAGCUAGUUGGCGGGGUAAAGGCCCACCAAGGCGACGAUCCGUAGCUGGUCUGAGAGGAUGAUCAGCCACACUGGAACUGAGACACGGUCCAGACUCCUACGGGAGGCAGCAGUGGGGAAUAUUGGACAAUGGGCGCAAGCCUGAUCCAGCAAUACCGCGUGGGUGAAGAAGGCCUUCGGGUUGUAAAGCCCUUUUGUUGGGAAAGAAAAGCAGCAGGUGAAUACCCCGCUGUUCUGACGGUACCCAAAGAAUAAGCACCGGCUAACUUCGUG
rnacentral:rRNA from 1 species